CCUACGGGGGGCAGCAGUGAGGAAUAUUGGUCAAUGGACGAGAGUCUGAACCAGCCAAGUAGCGUGAAGGAUGACUGCCCUAUGGGUUGUAAACUUCUUUUAUAUGGGAAUAAAAUGUUCCACGUGUGGGAUUUUGUAUGUACCAUAUGAAUAAGGAUCGGCUAACUCCGUGCCAGCAGCCGCGGUAAUACGGAGGAUCCGAGCGUUAUCCGGAUUUAUUGGGUUUAAAGGGAGCGUAGGUGGAUUGUUAAGUCAGUUGUGAAAGUUUGCGGCUAAACCGUAAAAUUGCAGUUGAUACUGGCAGUCUGGAGUACAGUAGAGGUGGGCGGAAUGCGUGGUGUAGCGGUGAAAUGCUUAGAUAUCACGAAGAACUCCGAUUGCGAAGGCAGCUCACUGGACUGCAACUGACACUGAGGCUCGAAAGUGUGGGUAUCAAACAGGAUUAGAUACCCCAGUAGUC
rnacentral:rRNA from 1 species